rnacentral:rRNA from 1 species
ACCCACGACAAAUCUUACCACUUCUUGCAUAUUCUAGUUCAGAGUUAAUGUGAAGAUAAUUUUAUUUAUAAAUACUUAUACUAGUAUUAUGAAUGGAUUUUAAAUUCCCUUAACUACACUUGAAUACAGGUGUUGCAUGGCUGUCUUUAGUUCGUGUUGUGAAAUGUUAGGUUCAUUCCGUGAACGAACGUAAUCCUUAUCUUUAAUUACAAUGACAGAAUAAAAUUCAAUUGGAAUUUAUUGGAAUUCCAUUGAAUUCCGAAUGAAUAUUUAAUAAAAUUCAUUCUGGAAGCGUUCAUAUUAACUCAAUUAAAGAAGUAUCUUUUGAUAAGAAAGAAUAAUUAGGCCGAAGACAAGUCCUCAUGACCCUUAUGGAGUGGGCUACAGACGUGCCACAAAGAUUUCUACAAAGGGAAGCAAAGAUGGAAGUCCGAGCAAAUCCUCAAAAGAAAUUAUUAAGUACGGAUAAGAAUCUGGAANNNNNNNNUUUGAAA